AGAGCGAACGCUGGCGGCAGGCCUAAUACAUGCAAGUCGAACGGAUCCUUCGGGAUUAGUGGCGGACGGGUGAGUAACACGUGGGAACGUGCCCUUUGGUUCGGAACAACUCAGGGAAACUUGAGCUAAUACCGAAUGUGCCCUUCGGGGGAAAGAUUUAUCGCCAUUGGAGCGGCCCGCGUCUGAUUAGCUAGUUGGUGAGGUAAAGGCUCACCAAGGCGACGAUCAGUAGCUGGUCUGAGAGGAUGAUCAGCCACACUGGGACUGAGACACGGCCCAGACUCCUACGGGAGGCAGCAGUAGGGAAUCUUGCGCAAUGGGCGAAAGCCUGACGCAGCCAUGCCGCGUGAAUGAUGAAGGUCUUAGGAUUGUAAAAUUCUUUCAGCGGGGACGAUAAUGACGGUACCCGCGAGAAGAAGCCCCGGCUAACUUCGUGCCAGCAGCCGC
rnacentral:rRNA from 1 species